rnacentral:rRNA from 2 species
GGCGGGUCCGCCCGCCGAUUGGACAACAUUCAAACCCUUUGCAGUUGCAAUCAGCGUCUGAAAAAACAUAAUAGUUACAACUUUCAACAACGGAUCUCUUGGUUCUGGCAUCGAUGAAGAACGCAGCGAAAUGCGAUAAGUAGUGUGAAUUGCAGAAUUCAGUGAAUCAUCGAAUCUUUGAACGCACAUUGCGCCCCUUGGUAUUCCAUGGGGCAUGCCUGUUCGAGCGUCAUUUGUACCUUCAAGCUCUGCUUGGUGUUGGGUGUUUGUCUCGCCUCUGCGUGUAGACUCGCCUUAAAACAAUUGGCAGCCGGCGUAUUGAUUUCGGAGCGCAGUACAUCUCGCGCUUUGCACUCAUAACGACGACGUCCAAAAGUACAUUUUUACACUCUUGACCUCGGAUCAGGUAGGGAUACCCGCUGAACUUAAGCAUAUCAAUAAGCGGAGGAAAAGAAACCAACAGGGAUUGCCCUAGUAACGGCGAGUGAAGCGGCAACAGCUCAAAUUUGAAAUCUGGCGUCUUUGGCGUCCGAGUUGUAAUUUGCAGAGGGCGCUUUGGCAUUGGCAGCGGUCCAAGUUCCUUGGAACAGGACGUCACAGAGGGUGAGAAUCCCGUAC